rnacentral:rRNA from 1 species
UACGAAGGGGGCUAGCGUUGCUCGGAAUUACUGGGCGUAAAGGGCGCGUAGGCGGACAGUUUAGUCAGAGGUGAAAGCCCAGGGCUCAACCUUGGAAUUGCCUUUGAUACUGGCUGUCUUGAGUACGGGAGAGGUGAGUGGAACUCCGGGUGGAGUGGUGAAAUGCGUAGAGAUCCGGAGGAACACCAAAGGCGAAGGCAGUGUCCUGGGGAGUACCUGACGCUCAGGUGCGAAAGCCAGGGGAGCGAACGGG